GUUUGAUCCUGGCUCAGAGUGAACGCUGGCGGCAGGCCUAAUACAUGCAAGUCGAACGGCAGCACAGCAGAGCUUGCUCUGUGGGUGGCGAGUGGCGGACGGGUGAGGAAUACGUGGGAAUCUGCCCAGUCGUGGGGGAUAACGUAGGGAAACUUACGCUAAUACCGCAUGCGCCCUUCGGGGGAAAGCCGGGGACCUUCGGGCCUGGCGCGAUUGGAUGAGCCCACGUCGGAUUAGCUAGUUGGCGGGGUAAAGGCCCACCAAGGCGACGAUCCGUAGCUGGUCUGAGAGGAUGAUCAGCCACACUGGAACUGAGACACGGUCCAGACUCCUACGGGAGGCAGCAGUAGGGAAUAUUGGACAAUGGGCGCAAGCCUGAUCCAGCCAUGCCGCGUGAGUGAAGAAGGCCCUCGGGUUGUAAAGCUCUUUUGUCCGGAAAGAAAAGCGCCGGGUUAAUACCCUGGUGUCCUGACGGUACCGGAAGAAUAAGCACCGGCUAACUCGUGCCAGCAGCCGCGGUAAUACGG
rnacentral:rRNA from 1 species